rnacentral:tRNA from 1 species
GGGCGCUUGGCUCAGCUGGUCAGAGCGCUUGGUUUACACCCAAGAUGUCACAGGUUCAAAUCCUGUAGCGCCCA